CUUGCUAAUGUAGUGCCCUGUAGAGCUAUAAUCCUUUUCCUAUCAUUCCCUAUGUCAUCCAAAAACAUUUUGUCCUCAAGGUUAUAAGCAGACCUUAAACUAGCCCAAUCCUCCCACGAUGUGUCAUCAGGAGAUAAGCCUGUCCAUUGCACUAAAACCAUCAAUUGAGGUUCAGAAUCAAUAUGGACCCAACGAGUAUCUAGAAUAGCAAGUGGAGAUGACUGGGCUAUUGUCAAUUGUUGUUGGUGGUAAGGCAAUGGGAGAGCUCGUAUCAGUUGGUGACUUGUGAAAUUGUUUUAGAAUGAAGCAAUGUAAGACAAGAUGAAUGCAAGAUCCCUCUAGCAGCUCUAGCUUAUAGGCUAGAUUUUCUAUAUGUUCCACGACCUUAAAGGGACCAUAGAAAUGCUUAGCAAGUUUGGAAUAAGAUGAUCCUGCAAUAGAGAGUUGGCACUAAGGGUGUAGCUUAACCAUAACCCAAUCUCCAGUCUUAAAACUCACUUCUUGUCGAUGAAUAUCAACAUUGAGCUUCAUCACUUCAUGUGCCAUAAGGAGUUUCCUUCGCAAGCUUGUGAUUAAAGCUUCCUUAUUGGUUAAUCUAUCACCCACUGCAUCAAUCUUCGAUGUUCCUGCUAAAUAUUAUGAAAUUGUUGGGGGUUUCUUGCUAAAAGUAACUUCAAAAGGUGAAACACUUGUACUUGAGUGUUGAGAUGUAUUAUAAGACCAUUCAACCAACAUCAAGAAUUUACCCCAAGAGGAUGGCAUGUUGUACACGAAUGCCGGCAAAUAUUGUUCAAUUACUCAAUUCAAAACCUUAAUCUGGCAAUUGAACUGGGGAUGAAAAGCUGAACUCAUAUGUAACUUGGUGCCACUCAACUUGAACUGUUCUUGCUAGAAAUGAAUAAUUAACAAAGAAUCACGGUUGGAGACUAGACUAUGAGGCAUACAGUGUAAUUUACCCACAAUAUCCAUGAAAAGGAGUGCCACUGUAUAGGCAGUGUAAUGAGGGUGUAACAUGCCCAGGUGUAUGCCUUUGCAGAAGCGACCGACCACGACCAAAAUUGUGGUCUGUCCUUGAUAUGUAGGGAGCCCCAUAAUAAAGUCCAAGGAUAAGUCCUCCCAAGGAGCAGAAGGAACCGACAAUGGGCAUAAUAAACCUGCAGGUUUGUGAGCUUCAUAUUUAGUGUACUGACAAUCAAUGCAUGUUGUUAUAAAACAUUGAACAUCAUAACAGAUGGUCUUCCAAGUUUUCCUUUAUCCGAGCCAAGGUCUUCUUAUUUCCCAUAUGACCACCUGUGGGUGUCGUAUGGAAUUCUUCCAGCAAGGUCCUGAUGAAGUGAAGCCCAUUAGGCAACCAAACACGACCUUUCUAUAAAAUUAGAUCCUGAGCAAUGGAACAAUCCAGAUGAGUAGAAGGGUCAGUCUGAAUGGCUUGCUGAAAUGCAAAAACUUCAAGGUUGUAGAUAAAUCCCUUUUAAGUUCCUGUUAAAAAGUGAAAUAAGGCAUGGAUAACAUGAAACAGGAGCCAUGGGUAGCUUCAGGGAUUCUCGACAAUGCGUCUACAGCCCGGUUUGAUUUACCCGAACGAUAUUGGAUUGAGUAGUCAUACCCAAUCAAUCGUGCCAAGUACAUCUACUGCUUUGGAGUCUGCACAACCUGAGACAUAAGUUCUUUGAGGCUACGGUGGUCUGUGAGUAUCACAAAGUGAUGAACCAGAAGAUAUCGUCGCCAUUUUUCAACCGUCGUUAUAAUGGCACAUAAUUCUCAGACACAGGUUGAAGCAUAAAGGAGUUUGGGACAAAAUGACUUGUUGAAGAAUGCGAUUGGGUGGCCUUGUUAGGAUAAUAUUGCACUCAUUCCUACCCUUGAAGCGUUUAUCUCUAAUACCAAGGGUAGAGAAAAUUUGGUAGCAGUAAUACGGGUGCCUUGCUGACUGCAUCCUCAAUUAAUCAAAAUCUUCCUACGCUUCCAAAGACCAUUCUAAUUUCUCCUUUGUAAAAAGAUGAGUCAAAGGUGAGGCAAUUGUGGUGCGAGGCAUAGGGGGACAAUGGCUUAGAAAAGGGGUUAAAAUGCGACUUGCCGCAGAAUGGUCAACGAGUUUCACUGAACUUCUCCUCCUACAGGCGAGCCAGAGGCGCCACCUGGAUCAGCGUCAAAGGCUGUAACGCCUAGACCUCUGGACGGAUCUCUAGAGCUAACCCGGAAAUGAAACAACUCAACAAGAAGGGUGCAAGUAAGCUGAUGAUACGGCUAGCCAAUGAUUCAAAGUCCAAAGGGUAAUCGUUAAUAGACCCACGUUGUGUCAAUUUGAACAGAGUCUUGGUAGGAUCCUCGUAUGUUGUCAGAGCAAAACGAGCCUCCAAAGUUUGAAGGAGACCGGUCCAAGAAGUGAGUUGGCCAUUGCGUGUCAUUCAUUGAAACCAAGCCAACGUCGGACCUUAAAUAUAGAAAGAGGCGAUGGUGAGACGUUCAUGGUUAGGGGUUGCAUGAUAUUAAAAAAAAUUGAGUGAUCUUGAAGAUCCAACCCAUAGUGUCCGAGCCAUCAAAGCGCAGGACCUCGAGCUUCAUCCGAUGAGGGUUGGAGGAGAAAAAAUAGGUAGGGCAUUUGCAGUGGAAGAAGUAGGAGAAGGCUGAUAUGUGUCCAGAUUGGCCAUUUUCAGAAGGAGGUCGUCCAGUUUAGCGGACAUAGUGUUCUGAGUAGCGGUGAGGGUGAGUUGGUUGGAACUUGGAAGUGAGUUUGGCGAUUGCGUCUUCCAGACGAUCCAUGUUGGAUUUGAUUUGAAACGUGUGGAAUAGGCCAUUGGAACUCGAUGAAAGCACCAAGAUAUUAGGCUCACAAAAAUAAAUCCUUAGAAUUCGAGGCCAAGGAAACCUCCAAACCAAGGUGAGAAUGAGAGAUGAUAUAUAUAUAUAUAUAUUAGAUGCAGAAUACUAAAUGACAAAAAUAACAUAAUGAAAUAACACACUAGCAGACAAGCAUAUUCCCUAAUCUGUACUAACUAAUCCUGUGGGUACAGCAUUAUCAUUAAUCUUCCUUUUGGGCCUUGCUGAUGCAGUGCCCUGUUGAGCUGUAAUCCCUUUCCUAUCACUUGUUGUAUCUAUUUUUCUUUGCAGGAACCAAUUCUAAUCUCAUCAUUGUCUAAUAUGAUUGUAGAGUUCAAAUUUGUAUCAGCUUUGCUCAUUUGGAUAUCUUAUGAUUUUCGUUUCUUCUUUUACGUAUGAAGUAAAUCGAAUUGGCGAAGAAAGGUUGAAGCAAACUGUGUUUCUUUAACUCCACUUUUUGUUUUCUGAGUACCAAAUGUUUGACGAAAUUCCUCAAUGUUUUUGCUUGUUGAUUUUUGCGCCUCUAUAAUAAUUAAUUGAUUCUAAUUGAAAUUUUCGUCUCAAUCGAAUUAGGCCAUCCUGCAAAGUCAUUAUCAAAUUCCUUUUGGUGAUGAAGACGCACGAUAUAUCUCUCAGUAAUCAUUUUUUUUUUCUGUUUAAUUGUUUAGUUUAAGUAUUGAAUUGUUGUUGUGUUCCAGUGAUUUAUUGUGUAAGAUACAUUGGAGAGUUUGAGUAUGUUGACCACAGGGUUGGUAAAAUCGUGGUUGAAUCGAACGACUGACUGAACAAGUGUGGGGUUAUUAGACCCCACGUUUUGCUUCAAGAUCAUAUUGGUGGACAUGGACUACAAGUUUUGGUCCAGAAUUAAUGUAUUGACGUGCCCCCUAUUCCUGGAGCACUAGUAGUAAACAUUGGAGAUCUACUGCAGGCAUUUUAUCGGUGGAGGGAAAAAGCAUUGGAUUAUCCAUUAGCCACUAGGAAAAUGCUGGUGCAUAUUAUUAAUUGACUUACUGAUAUUUCCUAAUAUAUUUUGAUGAUUGCCAGGUCAAAUUAGACUCAAACUUUGUGAGAAGCUUCAAUCUCACUCAAACUCUAAAGUAAGCAAGAAAACAACACAGUUCAUGUACAACUUCCAGGCAUAUAUCAAAUGUCGUUGUUGUUGAAGAGCAUUUUCCUAGUGACCUGUUGAAGCGGCUUCUGAUUUGCUUGUGACCUGUUUUUUAUUUUUAAAAUGUGUUGAUAGGUCAAUUUAGUUGAGCAAGUGUCCAAGCCCAAGGUGUGGAGAGUCUAUCUGAAGAGAAAUAAGAGAGAAAAGGAGGCAUAGGGAAAUUGGGCAUAUAGGGAAUAAGUAGAGAGAGAAAAAGGGGAUAAGAAUGUUUUAGUUUGUUAUGGGAAGAGACUAUUAGCUAUCUGAAAGAGCAUCACUAUGUUGUGGCAGUGGGAAUGAAUGUUUCCCUACUGUAUUUUCCUUAAUCACCAAUAAUACAAAUCUAUAUAUCAGUUUUCCUAUUCUAAUCCAUUAUCAGAAUUUGGGUU